rnacentral:rRNA from 1 species
GACGAACGCUGGCGGCGUGCUUAACACAUGCAAGUCGAACGGAAAGGCCCUGCUUUUGUGGGGUGCUCGAGUGGCGAACGGGUGAGUAACACGUGAGUAACCUGCCCUUGACUUUGGGAUAACUUCAGGAAACUGGGGCUAAUACCGGAUAGGAGCUCCUGCUGCAUGGUGGGGGUUGGAAAGUUUCGGCGGUUGGGGAUGGACUCGCGGCUUAUCAGCUUGUUGGUGGGGUAGUGGCUUACCAAGGCUUUGACGGGUAGCCGGCCUGAGAGGGUGACCGGCCACAUUGGGACUGAGAUACGGCCCAGACUCCUACGGGAGGCAGCAGUGGGGAAUAUUGCACAAUGGGCGGAAGCCUGAUGCAGCAACGCCGCGUGCGGGAUGACGGCCUUCGGGUUGUAAACCGCUUUCGCCUGUGACGAAGCGUGAGUGACGGUAAUGGGUAAAGAAGCACCGGCUAACUACGUGCCAGCAGCCGCGGUGAUACGUAGGGUGCGAGCGUUGUCCGGAUUUAUUGGGCGUAAAGGGCUCGUAGGUGGUUGAUCGCGUCGGAAGUGUAAUCUUGGGGCUUAACCCUGAGCGUGCUUUCGAUACGGGUUGACUUGAGGAAGGUAGGGGAGAAUGGAAUUUCUGGUGGAGCGGUGGAAUGCGCAGAUAUCAGGAGGAACACCAGUGGCGAAGGCGGUUCUCUGGGCCUUUCCUGACGCUGAGGAGCGAAAGCGUGGGGAGCGAACAGGCUUAGAUACCCUGGUAGUCCACGCUGUAAACGGUGGGUACUAGGUGUGGGGUCCAUUCCACGGGUUCCGUGCCGUAGCUAACGCUUUAAGUACCCCGCCUGGGGAGUACGGCCGCAAGGCUAAAACUCAAAGGAAUUGACGGGGCCCCGCACAAGCGGCGGAGCAUGCGGAUUAAUUCGAUGCAACGCGUAGAACCUUACCUGGGUUUGACAUGGAUCGGGAGUGCUCAGAGAUGGGUGUGCCUCUUUUGGGGUCGGUUCACAGGUGGUGCAUGGCUGUCGUCAGCUCGUGUCGUGAGAUGUUGGGUUAAGUCCCGCAACGAGCGCAACCCUUGUUCACUGUUGCCAGCACGUUAUGGUGGGGACUCAGUGGAGACCGCCGGGGUCAACUCGGAGGAAGGUGGGGAUGACGUCAGGUCAUCAUGCCCCUUAUGUCCAGGGCUUCACGCAUGCUACAAUGGCUGGUACAGAGAGUGGCGAGCCUGUGAGGGUGAGCGAAUCUCGGAAAGCCGGUCUCAGUUCGGAUUGGGGUCUGCAACUCGACCUCAUGAAGUCGGAGUCGCUAGUAAUCGCAGAUCAGCAACGCUGCGGUGAAUACGUUCCCGGGGCU